rnacentral:rRNA from 1 species
GCAGUCGACGAGAUCAAUGUGUAGCAAUACACAUGAAGAUCUAGUGGCGAACGGGUGAGGAACACGUGAGAAACGUACCCCAGACUUUGGGAUAACAGUUCGAAAGGACUGCUAAUACCAAAUAACGUCGGAAGUCCGCAUGGACAUCUGACGAAAGGGAUUCCGGUUUGGGAGCGUCUCGCGGACCUAUCAGCUAGUUGGAGGGGUAACGGCCCACCAAGGCAACGACGGGUAGCUGGUCUGAGAGGAUGGUCAGCCACACUGGGACUGAGACACGGCCCAGACUCCUACGGGAGGCAGCAGUGGGGAAUCUUGCGCAAUGGGCGAAAGCCUGACGCAGCAACGCCGCGUACGGGAAGAAGGCCUUCGGGUUGUAAACCGCUUUCAGUAGGAACGAAAAUGACGGUACCUGCAGAAGAAGGUGCGGCCAACUACGUGCCAGCAGCCGCGGUAAUACGUAGGACCCGAGCGUUGUCCGGAUUUACUGGGUAUAAAGGGCGCGUAGGCGGCCUUGUGCGUCAGAGGUGAAAUAUCCGGGGCUUAACCCGGAGGGUGCCUUUGAUACGGGCGAGGCUUGAGUGCGAGAGAGGAUGAUGGAAUUCCUGGUGUAGCGGUGAAAUG